GACGUAGGGCGCGAGCGUUGUCCGGAUUUAUUGGGCGUAAAGAGCUCGUAGGCGGCUUGUCGCGUCGUCCGUGAAAACUUGGGGCUCAACCCCAAGCUUGCGGUCGAUACGGGCAGGCUAGAGUUCGGUAGGGGAGACUGGAAUUCCUGGUGUAGCGGUGAAAUGCGCAGAUAUCAGGAGGAACACCGGUGGCGAAGGCGGGUCUCUGGGCCGAUACUGACGCUGAGGAGCGAAAGCAUGGGUAGCGAACAGG
rnacentral:rRNA from 1 species